rnacentral:rRNA from 1 species
UACGUAGGGAGCAAGCGUUGUCCGGAUUUAUUGGGCGUAAAGAGCGUGUAGGCGGCUUGACAGGUCUGCUGUGAAAACUCGAGGCUCAACCUCGAGAUGUCGGCGGAAACCGUCUGGCUAGAGUCCGGAAGAGGAGAGUGGAAUUCCUGGUGUAGCGGUGAAAUGCGCAGAUAUCAGGAAGAACACCUAUGGCGAAGGCAGCUCUCUGGGACGGUACUGACGCUGAGACGCGAAAGCGUGGGGAGCGAACAGG